rnacentral:lncRNA from 1 species
CGUGUUCCAGUCACAAUAGUUGAGGUAAUAAACAUACCUAUUACCUCCAAAAGUUUCCUUUUCUUCCUUUUUUGUGUUUUUUGGUUGUUGUUUUGUUUUGUGGCAAGAACAUUUAGCAUGAGAUCUACCCUCUUAAUAAAAAAACAGUGCUAGUUCAAUUUAUACAAUACCGUAUUGUUAACUAUAGGCACUAUGUGAUACAGUAGAUCUCUGGCAUUUUCUCUUGUGUAGUGUGUCAUUACAUCAAUUGAACAACUCCCCAUAUUUUCACCUAACUUCAUCUCCUAGUGUCCACCAUUCUGUUGUCUAACUUCUGUAUAUUUGGCUAGAUGCCUCAUGUAAGAGCAGCCAUGAAAUAUGUCUUUCUUUGACUGACUGACUUUUAGCAUAACUUCUUUCAGGUUUAUCCAUGUUCUUACAAAUGAUCACCUUAAAUUAAAAAAAAAAAUUGCUAAAACAACAAUCACAGAAAAAGAAAGUUAAUACAUCAAAUUACUGCCAAAAUUAUUUUAACAUCACCCUUUCCAGAGGCAAAGCUUGUUCAGAAUCAUCCAGUGGGGAAUAUUUUCCCACAAAAUUUAACUUGGAAAGAUCCAGCCUAAAAUAACUCUAUUUUAAACGUUAUUUCAACAUAUUUUAACGAAGCCCUAUGAAUUAUGAAAAUAGCCUUCUGAUAAUACUAAUAAUAUGCCUGAAUAAGACCUUGUAACUUGUUGCUUGCUAAACAACUUCUUUUCAGAUGCUUCACAAUUGAUAUUUGAUAUAGGUGAAGCAGAAAUCAUCUCGAGGAAAUAGCACUGAACAGUAAUGCCCUGAAACACAGCAUUUGUUGUCUCCAAGCCACUGUUAAGCUAAGCUUUCUGGCCCCCAGAUCUGCACCUGACCUUUACCACCUCCUCAUCAUCCACUCUGGUCUGCAUCCUCUUGACCGCGUCUGAGUCUCCUUUGGGGCUGGAUGUCUGCUUCAGCAUUAGGAAAUGGACACAUCUAUAGAAUCUCUCAUGGCAACACACCAAGUAUUGUAAACUUCGUCCUUUCAACAAGUUAUAUUACUAAAAAUCGACAAACUGAACUCACAUGAAUGUGUACUUACAGAGUUGUGGCUCCUGAUUCUAUUUAAGGAUCUUAACUUCACUCUCACAGAUGGACCCACCUGUGGCUACGUUUACACACUAUGAUCCUAGCUAUUUUUCCUAGUGUUGGAAUGUUGGUCUGAGAUAUGGAAAUGACAGACCAUUCAUUGAGAAGUGCAGAAAAAAAGGAGAGCUACACAAUUUACCCAAGAGGUAUUUAUAAUCAUUGGGUAACAUCAAAAUCGGCAAUUAUGUAAAUUGGAAACCUUGGUUUUUAUUCAGUGGAGCUGUAUUAAAUCUUCAUUGGUACAGGAGAAAAGUGAGAGUUUAAUUUUAUACAUUCUUUCGAAUUCAAUUUAUGAUCACAUAAAUGUGCUUUUCCAUAUUAACUUUCUCAUAAAGAGCACAAUUUUCACUUUGAGGAAAAAUAGUAUUUCAGUGAACAAAUUCAAGAGCCCUUUAUAUCUGGCUUCAGUUAUGGGAAAAUAAAUCUAGAAGUCCUGACUGUGUUGAUUAAACUCUUAUAACUUUACAAGAUUAGAGCAAGAGUCUUUGAAAAUAAAAAGUCUUGAUUGAUAAUAAUGUUGAAAAUAUUAUUGUUAAAAACAAGGUCAUCCAUAUGUAUGAUUAAAGGUGGAAAGAGUUUGAAAUUCACCUCCAAUUUCUCAGUGAAGUAUGAAAGACAGCCAGAGAGUUUGUUCAUAAUAUUUGCAAGUAGAUUUUUAAAAAUUUAGACUUGAUACGUAAUCUAAAACAAAAUAUUCUCAAUCUUAUGCUUAACCUCAUGCCAUAAAGUGAAAAUGACGCUUUGAACUACCCUGGAUAAAUUUUAGAAUCAUUUUAUUGAAUAAAUUACUGGAAUAGAAAAUGUCCUAUAUCUACUAUUGCUUGCUUUUUUACUGCACCCUGCCCCAUCCCACUG